UGGGGAAUAUUGCACAAUGGGCGCAAGCCUGAUGCAGCAACGCCGCGUGAGGGACGACGGCCUUCGGGUUGUAAACCUCUUUUAGUAGGGAAGAAGCGAAAGUGACGGUACCUGCAGAAAAAGCACCGGCUAACUACGUGCCAGCAGCCGCGGUAAUACGUAGGGUGCGAGCGUUGUCCGGAAUUAUUGGGCGUAAAGAGCUCGUAGGCGGUCUGUCGCGUCUGCUGUGAAAACCCGAGGCUCAACCUCGGGCCUGCAGUGGGUACGGGCAGACUAGAGUGCGGUAGGGGAGAAUGGAAUUCCUGGUGUAGCGGUGGAAUGCGCAGAUAUCAGGAGGAACACCGAUGGCGAAGGCAGUUCUCUGGGCCGUAACUGACGCUGAGGAGCGAAAGCGUGGGGAGCGAACAGGAUUAGAUACCCUGGUAGUCCACGCCGUAAACGUUGGGCGCUAGAUGUGGGGACCA
rnacentral:rRNA from 1 species